CUUUAUAUGCAAUUCUGUUAUUCAGUUUUCACCAGAAUCACUUGGAUUAAAACCCGUGGGUUGGGCAGUUGGAAAUAUUCAUGGGAAGAGAAUCCUGCAGGACCCCACAGCUGCUCCUGUGGAGGAAGCUGGAAGCCACCCCUCAGGUAAGCAGCUCCUCCCCUGUGUCCCUCUGGGCUUUACCAGGUGGAGCUUCCCUCCCUCCCUCACAGAGAGGGUUUGUCUUCUGCAGCUGCCAGGAGGUUGUGCCAGGCUGGUGGUGUCCUGCAGCCAAUGUAGGGAUUUUUCCUUUUUCAUGUUUCCCUGCUGGUGGGAGGUAAGCCUGAACUUAAUAGCAAACACAGCUGGUAGUUUUCAAGUAAUUUUCUUCCAGCUAAAUGAUUGCAACUUCUAACUUUUGUAACAAAGAAUCUUUCCCGCUAGACUUAUGAGGAUAUUCCAAUUAUUACGGAAUAUUUAAUAAUAACUAUUGCUAUUGCUUCUUCUUUUACCGUUUCUAUCCAGGCAAUUCCCUUGUCAGUGGCAGCUUUUCUGUGACCACAGGGAAGCACCGUUUUUUGAUAAUCACGCGGCUUCCAGGAGUGCUGUCCUGGUAAUGGUCUUGGUACCCCUCACAGGUGCUGCAGGACAAAGUGUCGAGCAGCCCACUGAGCUGACCGCUGUGGAAGGAGCCUUCAUCCAGGUCAACUGCACGUACCAGACAUCUGGGUUCAACGGGCUGUCCUGGUACCAGCAACGUGAGGGUGGAGCACCCAUGUUUCUCUCUUACAAUGUUCUGGAUGGUGUGGAGAGGAGAGGCCAAUUUUCUACAUUCCUUAGUCGGUCUGAUGGGUACAGUUACCUUCUCCUGAGUGAGCUCCAGGUGCAAGACUCUGCCUCUUAUGUGUGUGCUGUGAGAGACACAAUGGUUAUGUGGCCUCUGAGGCUGCACCAAAAUCCAGAGGCCACAG
rnacentral:lncRNA from 1 species